rnacentral:rRNA from 1 species
AUUGAACGCUGGCGGCAUGCUUUACACAUGCAAGUCGAACGGUAACAGGCCGCAAGGUGCUGACGAGUGGCGAACGGGUGAGUAAUGCAUCGGAACGUGCCCAGUCGUGGGGGAUAACUACUCGAAAGAGUAGCUAAUACCGCAUACGAUCUAUGGAUGACAGCGGGGGACCGUAAGGCCUCGCGCGAUUGGAGCGGCCGAUGGCAGAUUAGGUAGUUGGUGGGGUAAAGGCUCACCAAGCCAAAGAUCUGUAGCUGGUCUGAGAGGACGACCAGCCACACUGGGACUGAGACACGGCCCAGACUCCUACGGGAGGCAGCAGUGGGGAAUUUUGGACAAUGGGCGCAAGCCUGAUCCAGCAAUGCCGCGUGCAGGAAGAAGGCCUUCGGGUUGUAAACUGCUUUUGUACGGAACGAAACGGCUCUGGUUAAUACCCGGGGCUAAUGACGGUACCGUAAGAAUAAGCACCGGCUAACUACGUG